rnacentral:rRNA from 1 species
UACGAAGGGGGCUAGCGUUACUCGGAUUGACUGGGCGUAAAGCGCACGUAGGCGGAUCGUUAAGUCGGGGGUGAAAUCCUGGAGCUCAACUCCAGAACUGCCUUCGAUACUGGCGAUCUCGAGUCCGGAAGAGGUGAGUGGAACUCCUAGUGUAGAGGUGGAAUUCGUAGAUAUUAGGAAGAACACCAGUGGCGAAGGCGACUCACUGGUCCGGUACUGACGCUGAGGUGCGAAAGCGUGGGGAGCAAACAGG